rnacentral:tRNA from 2 species
GGGGAAUUAGCUCAGCUGGCUAGAGCACUUGAUUUGCAUUCAAGAGGUCAUCGGUUCGACUCCGAUAUUCUCCA